UACGUAGGGUGCGAGCGUUAAUCGGAAUUCCUGGGCGUAAAGCGUGCGCAGGCGGUUCGUUAAGUCAGAUGUGAAAGCCCCGGGCUCAACCUGGGAACUGCAUUUGAAACUGGCGGGCUUGAGUGUGGCAGAGGGGGGUGGAAUUCCGCGUGUAGCAGUGAAAUGCGUAGAGAUGCGGAGGAACACCGAUGGCGAAGGCAGCCCCCUGGGCCAACACUGACGCUCAGGCACGAAAGCGUGGGGAGCAAACAGG
rnacentral:rRNA from 1 species